rnacentral:rRNA from 1 species
UACGUAGGGGGCAAGCGUUAUCCGGAUUUAUUGGGUUUAAAGGGUGCGUAGGCGGAUUGAUAAGUUAGAGGUGAAAUGUCCGAGCUCAACUCGGGAACUGCCUCUAAUACUGUUGAUCUAGAGAGUAGAUGCGGUAGGCGGAAUGUAUGGUGUAGCGGUGAAAUGCUUAGAGAUCAUACAGAACACCGAUUGCGAAGGCAGCUCACUGGACUGCAACUGACACUGAGGCUCGAAAGUGUGGGUAUCAAACAGG